rnacentral:lncRNA from 1 species
UCUUUCUCUAAUAACAGCAAACGAGUCCUCCUUGGAAAGAGUUCCCUCAGUGUCGGUAGGUUUAAUAACAUGAACCUCAGCACCAAUGUACAUGUAUUAUUAAGAAGGUACCCUUUUAAAUGUUAAUUAAAUUCUGCUAGGGUAAGAAAUUUGCCGAAGCCCCAUUCACUAAUUGUCUGCUGAUCAUAGGUCCUCACUGGAGAUUUAGCAUCUUGGACUGCCAAGUAAUCCUUCCUAAUCUUAUCAUACACAAACAAUCUGUAGUAGACAUUGACACUCCAGGCAGCAUUAGAAUAAGAAUUGCUUUCAUCUAUUUUCAGGUAAAG